GAUGAACGCUGGCGGCGUGCCUGACACAUGCAAGUCGAACGAACCGAGGGGCUGUUGAUCGGGUUUCGGAAGGGUUCGUCCCGGAAGAGCCCGUGAGGUUCCUUGGUUAGUGGCGAACGGGUGAGUAACACGUAGGUGACCUGCCCCGAAGAGGGGGAUAACCACUGGAAACGGUGGCUAAUACCCCAUGUGGUCCCGCAUUCGUUUGCGGGAUUAAAGGCUCCGGCGCUUCGGGAGGGGCCUGCGGCCUAUCAGCUAGUUGGUAGGGUAAUGGCCUACCAAGGCUAUGACGGGUAGCUGGUCUGAGAGGACGGACAGCCACACUGGCACUGAGACACGGGCCAGACUCCUACGGGAGGCAGCAGUGAGGAAUAUUGCGCAAUGGGGGAAACCCUGACGCAGCAACGCCGCGUGGGCGAAGAAGGUCUUCGGAUCGUAAAGCCCUUUUCUCUCGGACGAGGAAGGACGGUACGGGAGGAAUAAGCGUCGGCUAACUACGUGCCAGCAGCCGCGGUAAAACGUAGGACGCAAGCGUUAUCCGGAUUUAUUGGGCGUAAAGGGCGUCUAGGCGGCGUCUUAAGUUGGGCGUGAAAUCUUCCGGCUCAACCGGAAGGGUGCGUCCAAUACCGGGACGCUUGAGGACAGCAGAGGGAGGUGGAAUUCCCGGAGUAGCGGUGGAAUGCGUAGAUAUCGGGAGGAACACCAGUGGCGAAGGCGGCCUCCUGGGCUGUACCUGACGCUGAAGCGCGAAAGCGUGGGGAGCAAACGGGAUUAGAUACCCCGGUAGUCCACGCCGUAAACGAUGGAUACUAGGUGUCGGUGGUAUUGAUCCCAUCGGUGCCGCAGCUAACGCAUUAAGUAUCCCGCCUGGGGACUACGGCCGCAAGGCUA
rnacentral:rRNA from 1 species